GGGGGGGACGGAGCUGGUGGUCCCACUUUAUACAUUCAUCUACAUUCCAAAGAAACCCGCUGCAGACACACUGAGGUUGUUCUGGUGUCCAGUUCUUCCAUGUCUGGUCCGGACGGCUGUUUGAAAAAGCUCCACACACACCAAGAGGAGACAUUAUGUUCAUGAGGAUGACUCCACUGCCUCUCACUUUCUUCUCAUGAUUCUUUUUUUUUCUUUUCAACUGCAAUAAAUUUAUUCUUUUUCAUUAUCA